CAGCCGCCGCGGGAGUACGGAGGGGGCUAGCGUUGUUCGGAAUUACUGGGCGUAAAGCGCACGUAGGCGGCUUGGUAAGUUAGAGGUGAAAGCCUGGAGCUCAACUCCAGAAUUGCCUUUAAGACUGCCGAGCUAGCAGGUGAGAGAGGUAAGUGGAAUUCCGAGUGUAGAGGUGAAAUUCGUAGAUAUUCGGAAGAACACCAGUGGCGAAGGCGGCUUACUGGCUCAUACUGGACGCUGAGGUGCGAAAGCGUGGGGAGCAAACAGGAUUAGAUACCCCGUAGUCCCUGUCUCUUAUACA
rnacentral:rRNA from 1 species